CUGGCUCAGGACGAACGCUGGCGGCGUGCCUAACACAUGCAAGUCGAGCGAGGAGAUCCUCGGGAUGAUCCUAGCGGCGGACGAGUGAGUAACACGUGGGCAACCUGCCUCAUAGAGAGGAAUAGCCUUCCGAAAGGGAGAUUAAUACCUCAUAACAUUGCAGUUUCGCAUGGAACAGCAAUUAAAGGAGCAAUCCACUAUGAGAUGGGCCCGCGGCGCAUUAGCUAGUUGGUGAGGUAACGGCUCACCAAGGCGACGAUGCGUAGCCGACCUGAGAGGGUGAUCGGCCACAUUGGGACUGAGACACGGCCCAGACUCCUACGGGAGGCAGCAGUGGGGAAUAUUGCACAAUGGGGGAAACCCUGAUGCCAGCAACGCCGCGUGAGUGAUGACGGCCUUCGGGUUGUAAAGCUCUGUCUUCAGGGACGAUAAUGACGGUACCUGAGGAGGAAGCCACGGCUAACUACGUGCCAGCCGCCGC
rnacentral:rRNA from 1 species